rnacentral:rRNA from 1 species
UACGGGGGGGGCAAGCGUUGUUCGGAAUUACUGGGCGUAAAGGGCUCGUAGGCGGCCAACUAAGUCAGACGUGAAAUCCCUCGGCUUAACCGGGGAACUGCGUCUGAUACUGGAUGGCUGGAGGUUGGGAGAGGGAUGCGGAAUUCCAGGUGUAGCGGUGAAAUGCGUAGAGAUCGGGAGGAACACCAAAGGCGAAAGCACUCUGCUGGGCCACAACUGACACUGAGAGACGAAAGCGAGGGGAGCAAAAGGG